CGCACAUUGCACUCCUUGGUAUUCCGGGGAGUAUGCUUGUCCGAGCGUCAUUUCACCUCUCAAGCUUAUGCUUGGUAUUGGAUCUUGUUGGUAACAGACAUUUCCGAAAACGAGUGGCAGGUUGUUGAACUUUAGCGAAUUGAAACAUCAUCGUAUCGAGUCUCAUCACACCUUGCCAGAAAAACUUUCAAUAUCUUGACCUCGGAUCAAGUAGGGAUACCCGCUGAACUUAA
rnacentral:misc_RNA from 1 species